rnacentral:rRNA from 1 species
UACAGAGGUCCCAAGCGUUGUUCGGAUUCACUGGGCGUAAAGGGCGCGUAGGCGGCGCGGUAAGCGUGCGGUGAAAGCCCGGGGCUCAACCCCGGGUCGGCCGUGCGGACUGCCGGGCUGGAGCACUGUAGAGGCAGGUGGAAUUCCGGGUGUAGCGGUGGAAUGCGUAGAGAUCCGGAAGAACACCGGUGGCGAAGGCGGCCUGCUGGGCAGUAGCUGACGCUGAAGCGCGACAGCGUGGGGAGCAAACAGG